GUGCACGUGCAAACACACAUGAUGCAUGCGGAUUGCAUGCAUGUGCACAGAUAUCACGCAUCUGUGCACGUGCAAACACGCAUGAUGCAUGCGGACUGCAUGCACACACCCACACACAUAUAUCACACGAUGGCUGUGCAAGCACAAACGCACACGAUGCACGUGCACUGCAUGCAUGCACGUGUGCACACUGAUAACAUACAUCCUAUGUGUGCAAACACGCAGAAGCACACACGCUGCAUGCAGAUGGCAUGCAUACACGUGGGUACACAAACAGCACGCAGCACAGAUGUGCAAACACAGCCAAACAUGCAUGAUACGUGCAGAAUGCAUACAUGUACGCAGCGUACAUAUCUGUAAAACACAUGUAAGCAUGCACGAUGCAUGCAGACUGCACACGUACACAGAUAACACACAUGACUAAACAAAAACACACACGAUGCACGCAGACUGCACGCAUGCACACAGGUAGCACACAUCUGUGCAAACACAUAAGCACGCACCACGCAUGCAAAUUGCACGCAUGGGCACAGAUAUCACACAUCACCUCUGUGCAAGCACACAAGAUGCAUGCAAACCACAUGCGUGCACACCUGCACACAGACAGCACGCUGCGGCCGUGCAAACACGCACGCUGCGUACAUGCACAAACAUGCGCGAGCCACGCUGCUGGCAUGCAUGCACACGCGUGUGAGCGCACACGUAUCUGUGCAAACACCCGAGCACGUGUGAAGCACGUACGAUGCUCGCGCGCAACUACCCCACGUGCCCCCGUGCAAACACACCCAAACACGCGUGCCGACCGCCGGCGCGCAGCCCGCCUCCGCGCGCGCAGCCGCACACGCCUGUGCAACACCCCGCGCACCCCGCACACGCGUGCCGGGCCGGCGCCGCUCACCGAUGUUGGAGUGCUUCAGGAGACGGCAGAUCCGGGCCUCGCGCUCCAGCUUCUGGUGAUCUGGGGACACAAGGGGGCCACGUUAGCGGCGCCGGGGCCCCUGUCACCCCCCCCAACUGCGUGUGUCACCCACCCCGGGGUGCUGCAGCCCGAAGGGUGGCCCUGGGUAUGGGUGGUGGGGGGGCACCUUGCUGCAUGCACGCACGUGGAGGCGGGCGCCACGCGGGUGCACCGCCGGGGCCCCGAGCGCACGGCGGAGGCAUGCGCACAGCCCGCUGCAAUGCGNNNNNNNNNNNNNNNN
rnacentral:lncRNA from 1 species